GCCACUUUAGCUCAGCAGGUAGAGCAUCACCAUGGUAAGGUGGGGGUCACCGGUUCAAAUCCGGUAAGUGGCU
rnacentral:tRNA from 1 species